GUGAGUAGUUCAGAGUUUGAUCCUGGCUCAGGAUGAACGCUGGCGGCGUGCAUAACACAUUCAAGUCGAACGGACAAGGGGCUUCGGCCCUGCGUUAGUGGCGGACGGGUGAGUAACGCGUGAGCAAUCUGCCCCUGUGUGUGGGAUAACGUCUGGAAACGGACGCUAAUACCGCAUAACGCAUGGACAUCGCAUGGUGACCAUGCCAAAGAUUUAUUGCACAGGGAUGAGCUCGCGUCUGAUUAGAUAGUUGGUGAGGUAACGGCUCACCAAGUCGACGAUCAGUAGCCGGACUGAGAGGUUGAACGGCCACAUUGGAACUGAGAACGGUCCAG
rnacentral:rRNA from 1 species